rnacentral:rRNA from 1 species
CCUACGGGUGGCAGCAGUGAGGAAUAUUGGUCAAUGGGCGCGAGCCUGAACCAGCCAAGUCGCGUGCGGGAUGACGGUCCUACGGAUUGUAAACCUCUUUUGCCGGGGAGCAAGAGUGCGUUCGUGAACGCGCGUCGAGAGUACCCGGAGAUAAAGCAUAGGCUAACUCCGUGCCAGCAGCCGGGGUAAGACGGGGGAUGCGAGCGUUAUCCGGAUUUAUGGGGUUUAAAGGGUGCGUAGGGGGGAUACCAAGUAAGCGGUAAACAUGCGGUGCACACCGCCGUCGUGCCGUGGAAACUGGGUUCUUGAGAGUGCGUGAAGUAUGCGGAAUGCGUGGUGUAGCGGUGAAAUGCAUAGAGAUCACGCAGAACUCCGAUUGCGAAGGCAGCAUACCGGCGCCCUACUGACGCUGAGGCACGAAAGCGUGGGUAGCGAACAGGAUUAGAUACCCCUGUAGUC